UAAGGAAUCUUAGACAAUGGGGGAAACCCUGAUCUAGCGAUGCCGCGUGAGUGAAGAAGGCCCUUGGGUUGUAAAGCUCUUUUACCCGCGACGAUGAUGACGGUAGCGGGAGAAAAAGCCCCGGCUAACUCCGUGCCAGCAGCCGCGGUAAGACGGAGGGGGCUAGCGUUGUUCGGAUUGACUGGGCGUAAAGGGUACGCAGGCGGUUAUUUAAGUUAGAAGUGAAAUCCCGGGGCUUAACCUCGGAACUGCUUUUAAUACUGGAUAACUAGAGCAUGAUAGAGGAAAACGGAAUUCCUAGUGUAGAGGUGGAAUUCGUAGAUAUUAGGAGGAACAUCAAAAGUGAAGACAGUUUUCUGGGUCAUUGCUGACGCUCAGGUACGAAAGCGUGGGGAGCAAACAGG
rnacentral:rRNA from 1 species